AACGAACGCUGGCGGCAGGCCUAACACAUGCAAGUCGAGCGAAGCCUUCGGGCUUAGCGGCGGACGGGUGAGUAACGCGUGGGAACGUGCCCUUUGGUACGGAAUAGCCCCGGGAAACUGGGAGUAAUACCGUAUGUGCCCUUCGGGGGAAAGAUUUAUCGCCAAAGGAUCGGCCCGCGUUGGAUUAGGUAGUUGGUGGGGUAAUGGCCUACCAAGCCGACGAUCCAUAGCUGGUUUGAGAGGAUGAUCAGCCACACUGGGACUGAGACACGGCCCAGACUCCUACGGGAGGCAGCAGUGGGGAAUCUUAGACAAUGGGGGAAACCCUGAUCUAGCCAUGCCGCGUGAUCGAUGAAGGCCUUAGGGUUGUAAAGAUCUUUCAGUGGGGAAGAUAAUGACUGUACCCACAGAAGAAGCCCCGGCUAACUCCGUGCCAGCAGCCGCCGUAA
rnacentral:rRNA from 1 species